rnacentral:rRNA from 1 species
GUGAGGAAUAUUGGUCAAUGGGCGCAAGCCUGAACCAGCCAUGCCGCGUGCAGGAUGACUGCCCUAUGGGUUGUAAACUGCUUUUAUACGGGAAGAAACCCCUCCACGUGUGGAGGAUUGACGGUACCGUAAGAAUAAGGAUCGGCUAACUCCGUGCCAGCAGCCGCGGUAAUACGGAGGAUCCAAGCGUUAUCCGGAAUCAUUGGGUUUAAAGGGUCCGUAGGCGGGUCUGUAAGUCAGUGGUGAAAUCUCCCGGCUCAACCGGGAAACUGCCAUUGAUACUGCAGGUCUUGAAUGUUUGUGAAGUAACUAGAAUAUGUAGUGUAGCGGUGAAAUGCUUAGAUAUUACAUGGAAUACCGAUUGCGAAGGCAGGUUACUAACAAAUGAUUGACGCUGAUGGACGAAAGCGUGGGGAGCGAACAGGAUUAGAAACCCUAGUAGUCC